GGCUGGUCCGAAGGUAGCGAGUUAUCUCAAUUGAUUGUUCACAGUCAGUUACAGAUCGAAAUCCUUGUUCUACUCUUCCCCCCUUCUCAUUACUGCACUUGACUAGUCUUAA
rnacentral:Y_RNA from 1 species